rnacentral:rRNA from 1 species
AUGAGCUGGAACGUUAGGGGCCUCUGCAACCCGGCAAAGAGAGGGGCUGUUGCUAAAUUGGUAUCUGAUUGUGGCUGUAAUAUCAUUUGCCUUCAAGAGACAAAGCUGGCUGUUUUUGACAAAAAACUGGUGUCUGAAACUCUGGGUGCCCGCUUUCAAGACAACUUUAUCUUCCACCCGGCAAAUGGUACCAGGGGUGGGAUGCUC